rnacentral:lncRNA from 1 species
GCUGUUUGUGGAUUUCUCUCUCUAGUGCAGGUAUGUAAUAAACUUUUUAAAUUAUUUUUUGUGCUUUAGUACUCUGCACUUUAAAUUUUAUUAUAUUUUAAAAAUUGUUAUAUUUUAUUUAUUAUAGAUUUGGACAUGAAAGGGUAUUCCUUCUACUACAAGCAUCAUUGUUUCCUCAAAGGACCAAUCAACUUGAAGCUCCAAUUGCACGUAAUUGAACUUGACGUAGAAGAAUUCAUCAAAAUAAGGCACAAAAUAUAAUUGUCGUGAUUAGAGAUGUACUAGAUAACCUAACUGAUGAUCAGGUAUUUAAAUAUUAU